CCAAAAUUUGCUCAUUUAUUUUCUUUACAUUAAGAUCUCUGGUUCUUACCAGUGGGUCAUUUCAAACUCUAUCUCUGCUUCCCCCAGCUAGGGAUAGAAAGCCACUAUUACAGACAGGGGCUGCAUCCUUCAGGUGCUUUCUGCAGAAAUGAGCUCAAUAACCACUGAAGACAGAUGUUAAUGAUGUCUGUUUUAAGGCAAAUUAUUUGGAGACGAGGGUAACCAAGUGGAGCUGAAUGACACUGGAUGGUAAUAACUUAAUUUGCCUCAGUGACAGUUCAUCAGGUCCUUUCACUUCCAUUUUCUCAUCUGACCAUCAUGACCUUAUGGUGUAAGUAAAAAUGAUUACUUCCCUUUUUUCUUUUCUUCAGAGGGGAAAUCUGGGUUUGGAGCAGCUAUACCAUAUAUCUAAGGUCAAACACCUAAGAGGAACUUUUAACUUGGGUCAUUUAAGUGCAAGUGCCUUGUUUUCGCCAUUUUGCCAAGGACAUGGGGCUCAAGUUUGGGUGUGCACCUGGCUUGCAGCAGAACUGGCUGGGAUGGCUUCAUAACUUCCCUUCUAACAAUAUAACAAUAUGCUUCUGUAAAUUUUCACACUGAAUUGGACAAGAAUCAGAAUAUCCUGUUUUGAACAUCUGCACAGAUUGACAAACAAAAAUGGAACAUCAAGACUGACUGGAAAUGGUGAUGUGAAAUUCAUUAAAUGCUCUUGCAAUUGCCAGAGGUGACAUAUAUACAUACAGCAUCAUUGUUUUCUGGAAAAUGGGCUACAGGAGAAUCUUAAAGAAGCAGUGAAUUGGCCGGGCACUGUGGCUCACGCCUGUAAUCCCAGCACUUUGGGAGGCCAAGGCGGGCAGAUCACGAGGUGCCAAGACUGAGGCUCAGAGAAAUGAAAUAACAUGCCAAAGGUCACAGUGUCUAGUGGAGCUGGGGCCAAAUUCAGGUUCGCGUGAUUAAUAACACACAGGAAAAACCCUCAACUUCUUUCAUUCGCCUGUUGAGAUAAAGGGAAAGAGAGUCCCCAUCCAGGCCUGCAGGAGAGGGAGAACUGGUGGAUGCAAAUGAAAAAGCAGAGGCAUUCCUCAGCUCUUUUAUCCCAGAGAUUAUAGUGCUGGAGUUGGAAGAAGAUGGGAGAAACAUAUGAGGAGAGAAGGAAGUCGAGCUCAUACCAUGAUGAAGAAGAUAACUCCUGAAGAUUGGGAAGGGCACUGGCUGGCUCUCAAAGAUGGACAAAUGGCUUUACGACGCUUAAGGGGAUGCUCUGUGGAGUCUGCUUGGGUGCAAAUCACCACCAUGACACACUACCCAUGGUACCGUUUUUCAGCCCCAGCCAUCACUUCAUCCUUUGCUCUGUAGCUUUCUUCAUUUGUUGGGAGAGAGGCUAUUCUUUUACUUGAACUUAGUGGGAGCUCAUUUUGCAAAGAUACAUGCUUCACCAUCCCCUGAAAGAUUUAUAUAGAAGGACACUGUGGCAACAUGUGACCUUUUGAAACUGCUCCCUUGGAAGGAAUUCUAAUGUCCUCCUGUCUAUGUUACCUGCUGUGUACCUACCACUGGGGAAAGAUGCUGAAAAUUUAAUGAAUUGCAGAAAAGCUGUGCAAGCUUCUCUUUUGGAAGAACCUUGGAGAAGAGAGAGGCUGACAGAAAGAAAACUUUCAAAGAAAUUACACUGCCCUCAAGGGUGGCAUCUACAGAGGACAGUGACAGGGCCUUGGAGACGUAUGAUUUCUUCUGCUGCUCAUUUACCUAGGUCUGUUUUCACUCUGGUGACUGGCCACAAUCAUGGGAAAAGUGAAGAAAUCUGAUAACUAUCAAGGUACAAAUUGCUAGAGAAAGAAAAUCGGGACUCUUACAACUAAGGGCUAAUUGAUGUGGAGAUGGAAGGUUUGUGGUGCUAUGUUUUGCAUGUGCCUCUGUGUGUGUUUGUGUGUGUAUAUAUAGGAGGGUAGGAGGUAGAAGAAUUCACAGUACAACCUAAUAAUCUGGGCCAUGGACCCAGCCAAAGAAGCGGGGACAGGGGUUGAAUGGAGAAGCACAUGGGACCAGAUGUACAAUGUAUCUGGAAAACAGACACAUAUACCGCAUCCAGGGAAUAACUGCAAACAGUCAAAUAACAUAUUUUGUAUUCAACCACUGACACAGAAAUUCAUGCACAAUGUAUUUUAUUUUUUAGUGGAAGAGAGAGAACUAUGCCACCCCUUUAAGGUAUGAUGCCAUUCUUAGAAAUAAAUAUUCGUAUAGAGAAAACUAUCUGAAAGGAUAGAUGUCAAAAUGUUUACAUAAGAGAUUAUUUCCGGAUGUAAGAAUUAGAGGGGAAUUUUAUAUUUUUUAUUUUUUGUGUAUGUACAGUUUCUAAUUUUCCUACAUUUAGUAUGUAAAAAGGAAAAAAAAGUAGCACAUUUUUAGAAAAGAAUUCUAAAUUUCUUUUAUAAAUAUCACUAAGGAAACAGAUUUGAUUUGGGCAAAGGGAAGAAGAGAUUAGAAUAGGGGUUGGCAAACUACGACCCUCUGAGCUAAAUCUGGCCUGCCACCUGUUUUUGUAAAUAAAGUUUCAUUGGAAUACAACCACUUCUUUCAUUUAUAUACUACAAACAUGGAGUUUAGCAGUUGUGACAAAGACCCUACGACCUACAAAGCCAAAUGGCUCUCCUAUCUGGUCCUUUACAAAAAAAGUUUGCCUAAACCCAGUUUAGAAGAAUCCUCCUAAUAUGGUCUUACCUAUUUUACCUUACUAGUUGUGUGAGCUUAGGGAAGUCAUAACUUUCACACCUCAGGUUCCUCAUGUGUAAUGAGAUGGAUAACACAUCUUAGACAUUUUAUGAAAAUUAAAUGAUUUAAUACAUAAAUGGUGCUAAACACUGUGUUUGGCAUAUAGUAGAUGCUCAAUAAAUAUUAUGCUCCUACUUAUUUUCUACUUCCUUUAAAUAAAAUGCAUUAUUCUGAUUUCAUGGCAAAUCUAAUGAAACUGCCAUUUUUGCUAGUCAAAAUUGUUCAAUAUUGGCAAUUUUAUAUGGCUCAAUGUAAUCAUACUUUAGCCAUUUACUAUUCUCAUUGCUCUUGUUUAAGUUGUAAUUGCUGAGCUUGUAUCUAUCAAUGUCACCAAGGUAGUUUUAGGGUUAGCUAAAUUGCCACAAACGGCUGGAAACCAAAAUCUAUUAAUAGCAUUGUUCUAUCCAAAUGUGGACACUUUGGGUGUAUGAAACAAAACACUGUAUUUGUAUUUCACUUUGUUACUUGUGUAACACAGGGAAAUCUGCAUUCAAUGCACCUAUGGUGUGACAGAUUAGGGCCUCUUUCCUGCUGCCCUAAAUAGAAGCUUUUUAGAUAAAGGAUAUUUGCUUCCACCCUACAAAACAGCACCUGACUUAAAUUUCAGCAGACUCAGUGAGCUUUCACAGCACUGCGACAAUCACUCUUGGCACUGAGCAAAGUUCUGACACAGUCUACCACAACAUCCUGGGAAGAACUGCUGAAGGGAACAUGGGGCUCAGGAUGCUACAAAAUUUGGAGACUGUCAUUCAAUCGCACUUGAAGAUGAUAUUCUGGGGCUUAGUGCAGAUCCAAAAUAGGAGUUCUUUAAAAAAGUAAAAUGGGGUUUCUCCAAGAACAAGACAGGAAGACCGACUGGAACAUCAAUGGAAUGUAAGUGUAAGAAGUUGCAGAUAGGGAAGUAUAGGAUGAGCUUCAUGAAAAGGAGGCAAAAUCAGGAAACUGAAAGACUAAUCAAAGUAUUCUUAUCAACAGAAAUGAAGAAAGGCUUUUAGUUCAGUGCUAAGACUAUCAAAGGAAGAACAAACCCAAUUUAAUCCAAUCAACACUUAUUAAAUGCCUACUUUAUGCCAGGCACUGGGUUAACACAGCUAGAGAUAGUAAGAUAAAUCAGACACAAUUUCUACCUUAGAGAAGUUUCUGGGCUGGUGGGAGGGAGAUAAACAUGGAACCAAAUAACUUUAAUAUCGUGAUAAAUGUUAUAAUACUAACAAUAAUAGCUGUCAUUUAUUAAUUGUGUAAAAUGUAAAGCAAACACAGAAUGGAAAAAUUAGUUUUGCUUGGAGAGGUCCAGAGAGGGUAGGGAGGAGGGGAAUAAUUACAGUCAGCACCUGAAAAUGACCAAAAGUUCACGAAGCUAAUACUGAGGCAAGAAUGAGAGUGAUGUGCUGUGGUUUCAGGACAGGAUGGAUUGUUGUAAUGGUUAAAAUGAAGCUGACGAAAAACCUCAUAAGCCAAACUUAGGAAUUGUGACGUUAUUCAGUAGGCAUUAAUUCUCAAUAAGCAGGAAGCAGUUUGGUUCAGUCCGGUUUAAAAAAGACAAGAGAAUACUUUCCUAGAGAGCCAUGAGGCAGGAUCAUAGGAAGAAGAGAGACUAAAUGGUUCUGUCUGUGAAAAUUUAGACCAGAAAAGUGGCAGUAAGAAGAGAGAAGAGGAGAUGGAUACAGGAUGCAGCAUGUCUUCAAACUGAAAUGCAAAAGUGGAGGGAGACAUUCUGAAGACCCAGAGGAGAAACAGAUGAAAAGAACUGUGGUGUGGGAGGAGCAAGGGACGGUAGGCAAGGAGAAGACCACAGUUAGGUCACUGGCCUUGGGAAAGGGAACAUCUUUUUUUCCUCGACCAGCCUGGGCAACACGGUGAAAACCUGCCUCUACAAAUAAAAAUACAAAAAAAUUUGGCCAAGUGUGGUAGUGUGCGCCUGUAGUCCCAGGUACUCGGGAGGCUGUGUGUGGAGGCUCUGGGGCUUGUGCCCAGGGUAUCGAGGCUGCAGUGAGCCGUGAUGUCACAUGUCACGUCUCAUUAAAGGGUAUUGAAUGAUACCCAAGAGAGGAAAAAUCUGAUUUCCUUAGCCUGGCCCUCAAAGCAUUCUGUAAUGUAGCUCACAACCUAUUCUUCUGAUCCAUUUUCACCUCCUUUAUUCUUCCCUCCUGAGGGUAUAGAUACCCAAAUGUCUUCGGGACUCAGGCGGGUAACACACAAGGGGGUGAAGUGGCAGGGUCUGAGGCCCUGAAGUGGUGAGUCCAUGGCUCACAGGACGUUAUAUUUUCUUUUUAAAUUCACUGAGAGGCAAACAACAUAUAUACACACAGAGAUUUUAGAAGUUUAACGUUUAUCUUGAGAGGCUUUACCUUCUAAAAUUCUACACAGCAUCAAUCCAGCCUUCUCUAAGCAGACUUCCCAGUCAACCAGGCUUAUAGACAAGAGUUC
rnacentral:lncRNA from 1 species